GUGGAUUAGAUACCCUGGUAGUCCUAGCCGUAAACGAUGGAUAUUAGAUAUUAGCGGUUUCGACCCCGCUAGUGUCGUAGCUAACGCGAUAAAUAUCCCGCCUGGGGAGUACGGUCGCAAGAUUAAAACUCAAAGCAAUUGACGGGGGCCCGCACAAGCGGUGGAUCAUGUGGUUUAAUUCGACGCAACGCGAAGAACCUUACCAAGGCUUGACAUCUACGGAAUCUGGUGGAAACAUCGGAGUGCCCGCAAGGGAAUCGUAAGACAGGUGGUGCACGGCCGUCGCCAACU
rnacentral:rRNA from 1 species